rnacentral:rRNA from 1 species
GAUAAACGCUGGCGGCAUGCCUAAUACAUGCAAGUCGAACGGGCCUAGCAAUAGGCCAGUGGCGAACGGGUGAGUAACACGUAAGUAACCGACCUCAAAAUCGAGGAUACCCUCUGGAAACGGAGGCUAAAACUGGAUAGGACGAGAGACUGUAAGGACUUUCGUUUAAAGGUGCAACUGCACUGUUUUGAGCCGGGCUUGCGGCGCAUUAGCUAGUUGGCGGGAUAAUAGCCCACCAAGGCGACGAUGCGUAGCUGCGCUGAGAGGCGGAACAGCCACACUGGGACUGAGACACGGCCCAGACUCCUACGGGUGGCAG